GCCUGGCUGGCUCAGUCAAUACAGCAUGCAACUGUGAAUCUUACGGACAUGAGUUCAAGUCUCAUGUUGGCGUGGAGCUACUUAAAAAAGAUCAAAUCCACUGGACUUGAGGAUCCUCACUUAGAUCACUACAAAUUUAAGGACCCAAAAACUAGAGGACUUCUGAACAGAAGCCUAACAAGAGUAGGACUGUUGGCUCCACAGAUACUUCAACCAAAGCAACAUAUUCAGCAGACUGAAUGCAAAACCAGAGAGGAGAAUCCAGCCGUCUUCCAUCAAGCCAGACUUAAAAAGAUUCGCAAAAACUGUAAAACAAUA